rnacentral:lncRNA from 1 species
CGCGGGCAGGCGGGCAUCUGGCGGCCGAGGCCGGGACUUCGGGGCCCCUCCCGGGCGAGUCGCGGGGCGGCGGCGGGAAGGGGCGCCGCACGGAGGAAGUGCCCUCUUGGCCGCAGCCAGAGCCGCGCCGCAGGUGCCGCGAUGUCGUCCUGGCCGGGGCGCGAGGAUGCGAGGGCUGGGGGCGCGUGGUGGCCGCGGGAGCCGCUGGAUCAGGAACUGCAGCGGGCCCGGGAGCAGAAGCGGCGGCGGCACGACGCCCAGCAGCUGCAGCAGCUCAAGCGCCUGGAGUCCUUUUAUGAAAAACCUCCUCCUGGGCUUAUCAAGGUUGGCAUUGCAAAUGGUAUGGUCACCGAACAGGCUACAAAGAAUGCCCUUUCUUUAUCAAAGACAACCAAAAGUUACAACAGUUCAGAGUAGCACAUGAGGAUUUCAUGUAUGACAUCAUACGAGACAAUAAACAACAUGAAAAGAAUGUAAGGUGAGGUUGUCCUGGUGAUAGUAUCUAUUUAAAGUUUUAACUUAUAUAAAGUUGGAAAAAAACCUUCUAGCACUAGGAGAGUGAUAUAGUAAACAUGGCACUUCAAUUGUGAAAUAUUUAUUGGGUAGGAGUCAUGGCUGACAAGACCAGUGUUGGGGAAUCAGCAGGCCAGCCUCCUC